rnacentral:sRNA from 1 species
GCUGGGCCUGGUGGUGCAUGCCUGUAAUCUCAGCUACUCAGGAGGUUGAGGCAGGAGGAUCAAGAGUUCAAAGGCAGCCUCAGCAACUUAGCGAGACCCUGUCUCUA